rnacentral:rRNA from 1 species
UACGGAGGGUGCAAGCGUUAUUCGGAAUUACUGGGCGUAAAGGGCGUGCAGGCGGGCAGGCGAGUCUGAUGUGAAAGCCCGGGGCUCAACCCCGGAAGGGCAUUGGAAACUGCCAGUCUUGAGUGCCGGAGAGGAAGGGGGAAUUCCUGGUGUAGAGGUGAAAUUCGUAGAGAUCGGGAGGAAUAUCAGUGGCGAAGGCGCCCUUCUGGACGGCAACUGACGCUGAGACGCGAAAGCGUGGGGAGCAAAC